UACGUAGGGGGCAAGCGUUGUCCGGAUUUAUUGGGCGUAAAGAGCGUGUAGGCGGUCAGGUAGGUCCGUUGUGAAAACUCGAGGCUCAACCUCGAGACGCCGAUGGAAACCAUCUGACUAGAGUCCGGAAGAGGAGAGUGGAAUUCCUGGUGUAGCGGUGAAAUGCGCAGAUAUCAGGAAGAACACCCGUGGCUAAGGCGGCUCUCUAGUACGGUACUGACGCUGAGACGCGAAAGCGUGGGGAGCGAUCCGG
rnacentral:rRNA from 1 species